rnacentral:rRNA from 1 species
UACGAAGGGGGCUAGCGUUGUUCGGAAUUACUGGGCGUAAAGCGCACGCAGGCGGUCCGUUAAAUUAGGAGUGAAAGCCCUGGGCUCAACCCGGGAAAUGCUCUUAAGACUGGCGGACUUGAAUCCGGAAGAGGGCAGUGGAAUUCCAAGUGUAGAGGUGAAAUUCGUAGAUAUUUGGAAGAACACCAGUGGCGAAGGCGACUGCCUGGUCCGGCAUUGACGCUCAUGUGCGAAAGCGUGGGGAGCAAACAGG